NNNGAAGUAGCUCAGCAGGCCAGAGCUCCCGCCUUGUAAGCGGGUGGUCGUCGGUUCGAAUCCGACCUUCGGCU
rfam:Candidatus Coatesbacteria bacterium RBG_13_66_14 RBG_13_scaffold_35592, whole genome shotgun sequence.